rnacentral:lncRNA from 10 species
UGGAUUUUCCAUGGUUUUAUUUAUUGUUCAAUUGUGUAUUUGGAAACACAAGAGGGGACACUGACCACAUUUGCUGGGGAAGUGAUGAAUGCACCCAUAUGGGCAUAGGGAACAAUGGGCUAUACAACCCCAUGGAUGCCCUUGGUAAGGGCAGAGAUGCAAAGCUGGCUCACCAGCUUGCCUCACAUGCUGCUCCCACUUUAUCACCUGAUUCUGCCAUCUCUUCCUGGUGCACAACUAAAGCAAGAAAGAAAAGCACUAGGUGUGAGAGGUGUCUACAUUUUAUUGCCUCAUAGUAUUUCUACUGGUUACAUUCUCUCUGCACCUGACUGGAGUCAGGGAUUUGGAAUCCAAUUGCUGCUCCUCUGCUUGGAUUGCUGGCCUUCUGUAACCAACCAGCAUAGGAGUCACCCUUCUCAAGCAAAUUGCAGAUUGCCAGAUUUGCAAUCCUAAACCAAAUCAAGCAGCGGCCCACUGAAGUGUUCUUCCAUCUAUGCAUCCAUUUGUCCACCCAGCCAAUCAGUCAAGUGCUUUUUAAGCAUCUCCAAAUGUGUUUCAGAGCAAAAUAAGAAAUGGUCCCUGCCUUCAAGCAGCUUUGCAACCUGAUCAUGGAGAACAAACGGUGCACCAGGAAAUCAAAUAGUAGUUAAAGAGGGUAAUUAAUGAAGCACAAACAGUGAAAGCAUAGAGGUUUAGGGAGAAGACAUGUUAAAGAGAGCAGAGAUGGUCAGGUAAUGCUUCUGGAAGAUGGGGGCUAAUGGAAGGCCUUGAAGAAACAGUAUUAUUCUAAAGAGAAGAGGGGACAAAGGGGAUCACUCUGGAGACUGGAAGCAACACAAAAACUCAGAAGCCAGAAUCAGAUCUCUGCCUUUCCAGAACACAAGAAAAAAUUAAGCACGCUAGUAGAACACUUUAAAUUUGCAAGGUACAUCCAUGUUUCUUCUUCUUCUUUUUUUCUUUUCUUCUCCGAUAAAACCUGUCAAGGGGAGAUGCCCCAACCUGUCCAGUCCCCUGCUCUGUGCAGACCUGGCUUGGACCUUGACCUGUCCAGUUGGCUGGGUCAUUUAAUGGCGACACACCCACUGAGUCCUGAGGGCCCCUGGAGAUUUACCUUGGUGCUUUCCCCUCCAUGUUCUGUCCUGGGUAAAACAAUCACAUACCGCCAUAGGGUGCAAUUCAGAGGUGCAAUCCUUUUCCACCUAGGGGCUGGGGUUGUAGGCCUUCUGUGGAGGAGAGUGAACCUUGAAAACAGGACCACAGCCUGUUUGAAAUGAAAAAAUUCCACAACCACAGAACAGCAAGGGUCUUCAGAAUGACCUGAUAGUACCUGU